rnacentral:tRNA from 1 species
GGUGGCUCAGUGGUAGAGUGUUUGCCUAGAAUGCAUAAGGCCCUGGGUUAAUUCCCCAGCACCA